rnacentral:rRNA from 1 species
UACGUAGGGUGCAAGCGUUAAUCGGAAUUACUGGGCGUAAAGCGUGCGCAGGCGGUUCUAUAAGACAGAUGUGAAAUCCCCGGGCUCAACCUGGGAACUGCAUUUGUGACUGUAGAGCUGGAGUGCGGCAGAGGGGGAUGGAAUUCCGCGUGUAGCAGUGAAAUGCGUAGAUAUCGGAAGGAACAUCAGUGGCGAAAGCGGCUUCCUGGACCAGUACCGACGUUCAGGCACGAAAGCGUGGGGAGCAAACAGG